rnacentral:rRNA from 1 species
UAAUAUAUCGGAACGUACCCAGUAGUGGGGGAUAACUAUCCGAAAGGAUAGCUAAUACCGCAUACGAUCUGUGGAUGAAAGCAGGGGAUCUUCGGACCUUGUGCUAUUGGAAUGGCCGAUAUCUGAUUAGCUAGUUGGUAGGGUAAAAGCCUACCAAGGCGACGAUCAGUAGCUGGUCUGAGAGGACGACCAGCCACACUGGAACUGAGACACGGUCCAGACUCCUACGGGAGGCAGCAGUGGGGAAUUUUGGACAAUGGGGGCAACCCUGAUCCAGCAAUGCCGCGUGAGUGAAGAAGGCCCUCGGGUUGUAAAGCUCUUUUGUCAGGGAAGAAACGGUGGUCGCUAAUAUCGGCUGCUAAUGACGGUACCUGAAGAAUAAGCACCGGCUAACUACGUGCCAGCAGCCGCGGUAAUACGUAGGGUGCAAGCGUUAAUCGGAAUUACUGGGCGUAAAGCGUGCGCAGGCGGUUUUGUAAGUCUGAUGUGAAAUCCCCGGGCUCAACCUGGGAACUGCAUUGGAGACUGCAAGGCUAGAGUGUGUCAGAGGGGGGUAGAAUUCCACGUGUAGCAGUGAAAUGCGUAGAGAUGUGGAGGAAUACCGAUGGCGAAGGCAGCCCCCUGGGAUAACACUGACGCUCAUGCACGAAAGCGUGGGGAGCAAACAGGAUUAGAUACCCUGGUAGUCCACGCCCUAAACGAUGUCUACUAGUUGU